rnacentral:rRNA from 1 species
UGUGUCCUACGGGGGGCAGCAGUGAGGAAUAUUGGUCAAUUGACGGAAGUCUGAACCAGCCAUGCCGCGUGCAGGAAGACGGCUCUAUGAGUUGUAAACUGCUUUUGUACAAGGGUAAACCUGAAUACGUGUAUUCAGCUGAAAGUACUGUACGAAUAAGGAUCGGCUAACUCCGUGCCAGCGGCCGCGGUAAUACGGAGGAUCCAGGCGUUAUCCGGAUUUAUUGGGUUUAAAGGGUGCGUAGGCGGAUUGAUAAGUUAGGGGUGAAAUGUCCGAGCUCAACUCGGGAACUGCCUCUAAUACUG